rnacentral:lncRNA from 1 species
GGCAAGGGUGUAGUGUGACUUGUGGCUCCGGGGUACAGAAACGGUAUCGAGCAUGUGACAACCCUCCGCCUGACUACGGUGGUUCACCAUGCGCAGGGGAUUCAUUUGAGUCCAAUGUUUGCACUGCUUCUGGUUCUUGUGCAGCUGUAGUUGACGGAAAUUGGGGCUCUUGGUCCAGUGCCGGAUCAUGUAGCGCCACCUGUGGUCAAGGACUGAGUAUCAGGGUUAGGUACUGUGAUAGUCCAGCCCCGAGCGGUGGAGGAAAACAGUGCAGUGGGGACGCCUCUGUCUUAUUUGCAUGUUCACAGCCAGCUUGUAAUACGUCAAACUCAUACGGAGCAAAUUAUGUUAAUGUCUGUCCCAGUGGUUACUUCACGUGUGCUACUGGAAGUGUCACGUGUAUACAGGAAUUAUUUGUGUGUGAUUGUUUCGGGGAUUGUGAUGAUUCCAGUGAUGAAAUUCCGGAAUGGGCAGGCUGUGCGACAUUCUGCAAGAGCAGUGCCUCAGGGUUGACACAGACACUACAUGUUUUGGUUGUGUUUGCAGCAGUGGUAAAGCAAGUAUUUAACCUGUAAACCCUCGAGAAAGUUGUGCUGGGAAAUAAAUCGGCGGAUCUUGAUACUUUUG